CCUACGGGCGGCUGCAGUGGGGAAUAUUGGGCAAUGGGCGCAAGCCUGACCCAGCAACGCCGCGUGAAGGAAGAAGGCUUUCGGGUUGUAAACUUCUUUUCUCAGGGACGAAGAAAGUGACGGUACCUGAGGAAUAAGCCACGGCUAACUACGUGCCAGCAGCCGCGGUAAUACGUAGGUGGCAAGCGUUAUCCGGAUUUACUGGGUGUAAAGGGCGUGUAGGCGGGAAAGCAAGUCAGAUGUGAAAACCACGGGCUCAACCUGUGGCCUGCAUUUGAAACUGUUUUUCUUGAGUACUGGAGAGGCAGACGGAAUUCCUAGUGUAGCGGUGAAAUGCGUAGAUAUUAGGAGGAACACCAGUGGCGAAGGCGGUCUGCUGGACAGCAACUGACGCUGAGGCGCGAAAGCGUGGGGAGCAAACAGGAUUAGAUACCCUUGUAGUC
rnacentral:rRNA from 1 species